rnacentral:lncRNA from 1 species
CAGAUUUUUUAUUUUAUAUGUUUACAAAGCCUUAUUUGUAAUUUUUGGCAAAUAAGGUUUUGGCAGCUUUGAAAAAGAGUCAUGAUUUGUUCCUCUUAACAAAGAGUAAUGAGAUGAUCUUGUAUUUGGCUCGAUGGCACAACAUCUUUUAGGAUGUUUUAUAAUCAUUUUUUCCCUAUGAUAAAUGUGGUCGCUUUAAGAUAAUGCUGGUCCAUUGCAGAAAUUUCGGAGAAUGUGACAAGGCGACUACGCAUCCAUAAUCCCACCACCCAGACAAUCACUGUUAACAUUUUGGUAUGUUUUCCUUCACUGAGGCAUGUGACUGGAAUGGUUAAAACCUUCCUAUGUACAUACCUUUGUAUACUGCUCUUUACACUUAAUUUUCUACUAUCAGCACUAAUGAUCGCUAAAAACAUUAAAGAUCUUUUUAAUAACUUUAUUCCUUUUCAGACGGUUGUGCUAUCAUUUACUUAUCCAUUCUUUUAAAGUAGGACGUUUAGGCUGUAUUCAGGUUUUCUGCUCUUAUAAGCAAUGCUGUAUUGGACAUCUUUAUGCAUACGUUUCUGUUGGUGUUUUCGACUAUUUCCUUAGGACAGACUUCUUGAUGCCAAUUAUUGAGCAGAGCAUAUGAAUCUUUCACAAAUGUUUGUUUAUAAUAUGUAGCAUACACACAGGCUCAUACUUGUCUUAUUUUUUAGUUGACAAAUUAUGGUUGGUUGUUCUUAACUAAAAAAAUCAUACAUUUGAAAUUAAGUUUUAGUCCCAUAUGAAACGAAAUGAUCAAUGCAUGUUUUAGAUAUUUCUUCAGUGACUGAUGAGACUAAUUAUAUAUUUAACUGAUUUGAUUUAUAACUAGGGUCUACUUAAUCAUAAAUCUGGGCAUCGAGGUGGGAUUAAAGGAUCAAGCAGAUCAGGUUUAGCGACAGGACUAGGGACCAGUGAAAAAGCAACAAGGAGCCCCAAACUCUAUGUAGCCUUAUGAAACAUUUUGGCAUCUGUGCCACCGGGUGAAACAGUAUGCACUCACCUAGCUCCUGAUGUGUAGGAGGUGUUUACAGGGCACGAGGGAAAACGCAAACUUCUUCUCUACAGAUAGAGAAGGUGCAUUAGGCCGGAAAGCACAGCCAGGAAUAUAUGGGUCUUCGACCUGUGGGCCUCCAUGGCCUCCAGAAAACCCCUCCCAUUCACAGCUCCUCUUCUGCUAGAGGAGAGAAGGCACUUCUGGUUUACAAUCCCCACAACACUGGCUGAGGAACACCCAAAGAGCUUCCACCUCUGUCCACACAGCCCCCACCCUUUUGCAUUCAACAUGUGAGGAAGUGAUCAGGUGGCUAUUUUUCAAUGUUCGUUCAAGUUCUGUGUAAGGUUAGCAGAUACAUCAGGCCUGCAGCGAGGCAGUAAUCCCCUCCUCUGGGAUUCCCUGCACUCGCCUCUUAGGAAUGUGUAUGAGUGAGGGAACAUUCAUUCACUCUUUUUAUUCAUCCAUUCAUUUCUCAGUUUGUCCUUUCAUUCAAAAAAGAGUCACUGAAUCUUAUCUACCACUGUGCAGCAGCUCCUGUACUAGGCAACGGAGGACUCAACAGGAGACAUGACAAAGGCGCUGCCCCCGUAAGACUUGUGGCUAAUAAAAGAGGCAAGGAAUGAAACAAGCAAUGGCAACACAGAGGAAAUGCAGGACUGUGGCAGAGGGAUGCUAGGCAGAGGCCUGAUGGCUGUCCCAGAGCAGAAGUGGCCCAGGAGGAAGGGCAGGGCCGCAGGGGGCCGGAGAGGCAAGGAGAAAAUGCUCUAGGCAGGGAGGGGGCAUGAGCUGGGAGAGUAGCAAUGGGCACUGCUUGCAGGAUGACGGCCCAAGGGUUAGCAUCAGAUCCUACUCACAACUGGAAAACAACAGUGCAUUAGAGCAGGAAGCUGCCAACUUGGACAUCUGACAAGGACAGAAAGUAGGGCCCAUAAUGUGAAAGAGCUUGCCCAAGUGCCAAAGGAAGUUGAUUUUGUGCAAGAUGGAUGCACAGGCUUCUGCCACAGGCACAUCAGCCAGAUAUUGGGGUUUUUCUCCGGUAACUUUCCUAUGGGGACUCCAUGUGGACGCAUUCCUGUGUAUAAAUAUGUGUGUUCUGGAUAAUAGUAAUGGUAGCCUUUGGGUUCAAAGAGAAAAUGCUGGACUUCAUAAAAUCCCUUUAUGAACUAAGUUGAAGUCUGAUAUUUGAAGAACUGCAUUAAAUAGGGCUAGAAGAAGUAGCUGCAUUCAUAACACUGAGACAUUCAUAACACUGCAUUCAUAACACUGAGCAUUCACAGCUGAGAGGAUGCACUUCCCUACUGAAUCACUUUAAGACAGAGUUGCAAAUCCCAUUAUCUGUGAGUGCUGUGUGAAUACAUAUGCCAAGACGAAUAGUGAACACAGGAAAUUGUGCUGAAAAUUAAUCGCCCUCAGCAAUCAAUGGGGAUAGGCCCCACACGAGAGAAGGUCCGACUAAGGAUGGAGCGCACUGCGAUGAGACCUUUCUUAUAUGACCUAGGUGCUCCCAAGACUGCAAACUUCCACUCCUUUGUAUCUUUCUUUUCAGCCUGCUAACUGAACCGUGCUAAUGGAUAUCAGAACAGUCCUUGUGGUUUUUCCUAUCAAAUCUGUUAAAAGGGGAAGAAGGUUCCUGUUGUUAAUUGCAGGGGAUCUCCUAUUCUUUGUUUUAAAGAAAGUUUAAACAAAAUGCUCACCCACUCUGGGGCUUUAAAGAAAGUUCAAACAGAACAAAGUUCUCUUGCCAAGGUUUAAGGCGAAUCUCCUCCGUCCAGAUGGCUUCCUCAGGCAGGCCAAUGUAAGAACCCAGACACUCACCCCUGCUGCCUCUUAAUGCCGCGCCUUGAUUGUUGCUAACGAUCCCCAGCUGUCUUUCGUUGCUGGCUCCUUAACCUCUCUCUGCCGGCCACAUCUGCCUGCAACUCUGAGAGGGGAAGAGGAGAUGCUGACAAAAGAGGCAUCCAAGAGAUGCUUUGGAGGCUGCCCCCAAAGCAACGCAGAUGGGGUCCCGAGUCGUGGGACUGUGCACCAGGAACUUGAUUAGAAAUUAAUUCUCCACAAUAAACUUCAGGAAAAAAUGUGAAUGUCAUAUUUCAUAUCAAGGAAAUAAACCUGAUGAUGGGAAAUGCCACUAACCAAGGCAAAUCCACUAAGAAUCCAGGAGUCUGGCCAUGAUACUUGGCAGGUCACUUUCCCUAUUGACUAGUCUACAUAUUUACUGGGCAGCAGCCCGGAAUGGGGUGGUGGCCAUAAGAAUUCCCACUGUGUUCCAGCAACAUGUGUCCACUUUCUCCACGGCCUUCCCCAGCUGCCCCCUUUAUUCCAGCCCAUCACCCAGCAGACAUACUGACUUUUGAUCUGUACCAGAUACAAGUGGGUCACGUCUGCAUCCUGUAUUAAUUUAAUGCUUCCCCUUUGUUUUCUGUGUGUCCUACGAGUGUCUAGCUAUGUCAGCCAGUGGGUCUGAAUAUCCCUGCCUGCCCGGAUGUCCAUUCAAUUCAGACAUUAAAAAGUGCACCUUGUUACUAUCACCCCAUAGGGUGCACUACAGUCUAAUAGAUAAAUCCACAUCAUCAAUAGUAAUCUAAGUACCCUCUCUAUGCUCUGUACCCCUUCUUCCCCAAACCCUAUUUCUUUUUUUUUUUUUUUUUUUUUUUUUUUUUGAUGAGCAGUCAGAACACACACAGCAUUUAUUGGAAGUUUUCCAUCUUAUAUGGGCACAGUUUGUGGCUCCCCAAAACAAUUAGAAUAGUAAUAUCAAAGAUCACUGAUCACAGAUCACCAUAACAGAUAUAAUAAUAAUGAGAAACUGAAAUGUCGCAAAAAUUACCAAAAUGUGACCCAGAGACAGGAAGUGAGCGCAUGCUGUUGGACAAAUGGCACUGAUAGAUUUGCUUGACACAGGGUUGCCAGAAACCUUCCAUUUGUUAAAAAAUGCAAUAUUUGCGAAGUACAAUAAAGUGAAACACAGUAAAAUGAGGUGUGCUGGGCAUCCUGCCAUUUAUGCACAUGCCUCUUUAGGUAGAAAAUAAUCCUGUAACAGUUGAGGCUGUGGUUGCCUUUCUGAGACUCUUGUCUACAGAAAUGGUCAACUGGUGGCCAGCUGGCCAAAGGGCUAAUCUAGCCCACAGACAUGUUUAGUUGGGGCUACAUAGAGCUUUUUACAAAUUUGAGUCAAUAUUUAGAAAAUAAAAGUCUGGAUUUUGGGAUUCCCUUACAAAAACUGGAAAAUUUGGCCACACUGGGUCAUAUUCCCACAUAGUCGUGGUGGUUGGGGUUCAGUAGCAGUAGCUGCUGCCCCUUAAGACAGGUCCCCAUGGUCCCCACUCAGUUGCUUCCUUAUUUAUCUUACAAGCCUGGCAAGGAAUUUGAGUUGAACUGAUCUAGAAGAUUGGUGCUAAGAACCAGCUCAGUGGCUUAGCUGUCCUGGGGUCUGCAGGAGAAGGCUUCUUUGUUAGGCCCAGGCAGGAAGUCUGGGCAUGGAUUGAGGUUUUUUUUUUUUUUUUUUUUGACCUUUUAAAUAUUUAUUUAUUUUUUAUUUUAUUUUAUUUUAUUUUAUUUAUUUAUUUAUUUUUAAUUGAUCAUUCUUGGGUGUUUCUCGCAGAGGGGGAGUUGGCAGGGUCAUAGGACAAUAGUGGAGGGAAGGUCAGCAGAUAAACAAGUGAACAAAGGUCUCUGGUUUUCCUAGGCAGAGGACCCUGCGGCCUUCCGCAGGGUUUGUGUCCCUGGGUACUUGAGAUUAGGGAGUGGUGAUGAUUCUUAACGAGCAUGCUGCCUUCAAGCAUCUGUUUAACAAAGCACAUCUUGCACCGCCCUUAAUCCAUUUACCCUGAGUGGACACAGCACAUGUUUCAGAGAGCACAGGGUUGGGGGUAAGGUCACCGAUCAACAGGAUCCCAAGGCAGAAGAAUUUUUCUUGGUACAGAACAGAAUGAAAAGUCUCCCAUGUCUACUUCUUUCUACACAGACGCGGCAACCAUCCGAUUUCCCAAUCUUUUCCCCACCUUUCCCCCCUUUCUAUUCCACAAAACCGCCAUUGUCAUCCCUGCCCGUUCUCAAUGAGCUGU